AGGAUGAACGCUAGCGGCAGGCUUUAUACAUGCAAGUCGAACGGCAGCACAGUGUAGCAAUACAUGGGUGGCGAGUGGCGCACGGGUGCGUAACACGUAUGCAAUUUGCCCAUAACUGGGGGAUAGCCCUCCGAAAGGAGGAUUAAUACCCCAUAACCCAGCGAGGUGGCAUCACUUUUCUGGUAAAUCUCCGGAGGUUAUGGAUGAGCAUGCGUCUGAUUAGCUAGUUGGUGAGGUAACGGCUCACCAAGGCAACGAUCAGUAGGGGGUCUGAGAGGAUGAUCCCCCACACGGGUACUGAGACACGGACCCGACUCCUACGGGAGGCAGCAGUAAGGAAUAUUGGACAAUGGAGGCAACUCUGAUCCAGCCAUGCCGCGUGAAGGAUGAAGGCCCUACGGGUUGUAAACUUCUUUUCUCUUAGAAAAAACUACUGGUUUCGUACCGGUACUGAUUGUACAAGAGGAAUAAGCAUCGGCUAACUUCGUGCCAGCAGCCGCGGUAAUACGAAGGAUGCAAGCGUUAUCCGGAUUCACUGGGUUUAAAGGGGUGCAGGUGGGGUAAUAAGUCAGUGGUGAAAGCCCCCGACUCAAUCGGGGAACUGCCAUAGAUACUGUUAUUCUUGAGUGUGGUUGAGGCGGAUGGAAUAUGACAUGUAGCGGUGAAAUGCUUAGAUAUGUCAUAGAACACCGAUCGCGAAGGCAGUCCGCCAAACCAUUACUGACACUGAAACACGAAAGUGCGGGGAUCAAACAGGAUUAGAUACCCUGGUAGUCCGCACCGUAAACGAUGAUCACUCGUUGUUGGCGAUACACAGUCAGCGACUAAGCGAAAGCAUUAAGUGAUCCACCUGGGGAAGUACGACCGCAAGGUGAAAC
rnacentral:rRNA from 1 species